AUUGAACGCUGGCGGCAUGCCUUACACAUGCAAGUCGAACGGUAACGGGCCUUCGGGUGCCGACGAGUGGCGAACGGGUGAGUAAUGUAUCGGAACGUACCUUUCAGUGGGGGAUAACGUAGCGAAAGUUACGCUAGUACGGCAUAUUCUGUGAGCAGGAAAGCAGGGGAUCGCAAGACCUUGCGCUGAUUGAGCGGCCGAUAUCAGAUUAGCUAGUUGGUGAGGUAAAGGCUCACCAAGGCGACGAUCUGUAGCGGGUCUGAGAGGAUGAUCCGCCACACUGGAACUGAGACACGGGCCAGACUCCUACGGGAGGCAGCAGUGGGGAAUUUUGGACAAUGGGGGCAACCCUGAUCCAGCCAUGCCGCGUGAGUGAGGAAGGCCUUCGGGUUGUAAAGCUCUUUCGGCCGGGAAGAAAUCGUAUCAGCUAAUACCUGGUGCGGAUGACGGUACCGGCAUAAGAAGCACCGGCUAACUACGUGCCAGCCGCCGCUGUAAUAC
rnacentral:rRNA from 1 species